UACGUAGGGGCCUAGCGUUGUCCGGAUUUAUUGGGCGUAAAGAGCUCGUAGGCGGCUUGGUAAGUCAGGUGUGAAAUCUCCACGCUCAACGUGGAGGGGCCACCCGAAACUGCCAUGGCUUGAGUCCGGUAGGGGAGUGUGGAAUUCCCGGUGUAGCGGUGAAAUGCGUAGAGAUCGGGAGGAACAUCAGUUGCGAAGGCGGCUCUCUGGACCAGCACUGACACUGAGGCACGAAAGCGUGGGGAGCAAACAGG
rnacentral:rRNA from 1 species